CUUCUAGAUAGACUGUAGGCUUUAAAUUUUCUCAAGUUCAACUGUUCUCCCACUGUCCUCUUCUUGGAUGAACUCUUUCUCCAAGAAAGUGUUAUGCCUGCUAACAAACUCUUUUUAUUGAGUAGGGUGGUAGAAGUAGUAUCCUAUACUCUUAAUAAGAUAACCUACAAACCUGUAUUUAUCCAACCUAACACUUAACUUAUGUUCUUAAGUAUUUCUAACAUAAGUAGAACAGCCCC
rnacentral:lncRNA from 1 species